rnacentral:rRNA from 1 species
AACGAACGCUGGCGGCAUGCCUAACACAUGCAAGUCGAACGAAGGCUUCGGCCUUAGUGGCGCACGGGUGCGUAACGCGUGGGAACCUGCCCCUCGGUUCGGAAUAACAGUUAGAAAUAGACUGCUAAUACCGGAUGAUGACUUCGGUCCAAAGAUUUAUCGCCGAGGGAUGGGCCCGCGUAGGAUUAGCUAGUUGGUGGGGUAAAGGCCUACCAAGGCGACGAUCCUUAGCUGGUCUGAGAGGAUGAUCAGCCACACUGGGACUGAGACACGGCUCAGACUCCUACGGGAGGCAGCAGUGGGGAAUAUUGGACAAUGGGCGAAAGCCUGAUCCAGCAAUGCCGCGUGAGUGAUGAAGGCCUUAGGGUUGUAAAG